rnacentral:lncRNA from 1 species
AGCAGAUGCAACCUGCCUCGUUCUUUUGAAUGAGUAAUCAGAGACUUCUAAAGCCCAAGUUGGCAAUUAUUUUAGGAAGAGGUCAAACAAGGAGGCCGAAGCUGCAAAAGAUUUAUUGCUAUUUUGGUUAAAGCCAUGAGGAGCAGUUAUCAGCUAAGUGAGCCAGCUUUUCUUGAUACAUCCAUGUUGGACUGGCUUCAUGAAGAGUGACCUGUGCUUCUGUUUUCUCCGAGUUUGUUAACCAAGAUAACCUUUAUUUGGGGAAACAGUUGGUCUCCAACUCUGAGAGUCGGGUCAGACCAAAGGGCAGGAGCAGCGGCGUCUGUGAGUGUCGGCCACCAGCAGCUGGGAGAAGGCUCCGGCAAAUGUGCAAACGUGGGAAUAAGUUCUAUACAAGCUUCAGGAGGGAUAGAACCAUCCAGUCCUUUCACAGAGGCCCUCGCCGCCCCUUCAGGACCCUAACCACCAGGCCAUUUGCUUAAGGAGGAGACAGACUGGCAGCUGGCCGUACCUUGGGAGUGUUGGUCAUUUUGGGAGGCGCUGGUGGACGUCUGUGGAGCUGGCUGGAAACUCCCCCGCUUCUUCCUGGUAUGGAUCAGCCUCACAAUGUGCACGAUUCUGGGAAAGUCCUGGGCAUUG